GAGUUUGAUCCUGGCUCAGAUUGAACGCUGGCGGCAGGCUUAACACAUGCAAGUCGAACGGUAACAUGAGUGCUUGCACUUGAUGACGAGUGGCGGACGGGUGAGUAAUGUAUGGGGAUCUGCCGAAUGGAGGGGGACAACAGUUGGAAACGACUGCUAAUACCGCAUAAAGUUGAGAGACCAAAGCAUGGGACCUUCGGGCCAUGCGCCAUUUGAUGAACCCAUAUGGGAUUAGCUAGUUGGUAGGGUAAUGGCUUACCAAGGCGACGAUCUCUAGCUGGUCUGAGAGGAUGACCAGCCACACUGGAACUGAGACACGGUCCAGACUCCUACGGGAGGCAGCAGUGGGGAAUAUUGCACAAUGGGGGGAACCCUGAUGCAGCCAUGCCGCGUGUAUGAAGAAGGCCUUCGGGUUGUAAAGUACUUUCGGUGAUGAGGAAGGUGACGUAUCUAAUAGGUAUGUUAAUUGACGUUAAUUACAGAAGAAGCACCGGCUAACUCCGUGCCAGCAGCCGCGGUAAUACGGAGGGUGCGAGCGUUAAUCGGAAUGACUGGGCGUAAAGGGCAUGUAGGCGGAUAAUUAAGUUAGGUGUGAAAGCCCUGGGCUCAACCUAGGAAUUGCACUUAAAACUGGUUAACUAGAGUAUUGUAGAGGAAGGUAGAAUUCCACGUGUAGCGGUGAAAUGCGUAGAGAUGUGGAGGAAUACCGGUGGCGAAGGCGGCCUUCUGGACAGAUACUGACGCUGAGAUGCGAAAGCGUGGGGAGCAAACAGGAUUAGAUACCCUGGUAGUCCACGCUGUAAACGAUGUCGAUUUGGAGUUUGUUGCCUUGAGUGAUGGGCUCCGAAGCUAACGCGAUAAAUCGACCGCCUGGGGAGUACGGCCGCAAGGUUAAAACUCAAAUGAAUUGACGGGGGCCCGCACAAGCGGUGGAGCAUGUGGUUUAAUUCGAUGCAACGCGAAGAACCUUACCUGGUCUUGACAUCCACAGAAUCUUGCAGAGAUGCGGGAGUGCCUUCGGGAACUGUGAGACAGGUGCUGCAUGGCUGUCGUCAGCUCGUGUUGUGAAAUGUUGGGUUAAGUCCCGCAACGAGCGCAACCCUUAUCCUUUGUUGCCAUCGGUUUGGCCGGGAACUCAAAGGAGACUGCCGUUGAUAAAGCGGAGGAAGGUGGGGACGACGUCAAGUCAUCAUGGCCCUUACGACCAGGGCUACACACGUGCUACAAUGGCGUAUACAAAGGGAGGCGA
rnacentral:rRNA from 1 species